AACGCACCUUGCACUCUUUGGUAUUCCGAAGAGUAUGUCUGUUUGAGUGUCGUGAAACUCUCAACCCCCUUAUUUUGUAACGAGAUAAGCGUGGGCUUGGUUUAUGACUGUUGUCGGACCUGUAAAGGAUCGGCUCGGCUGAAAUACACGAGUAACCUUCUUUUGAAUAACCACGGUUUGACUCGGCGUAAUAAUACUAUUCGCUGGGAACGUGCAUUAGACAUUCACUAGUCGGCUGCUUCUAAUGUGGAGUUGAUUAAUUUCAAUACCAUUUAUAAUUUUAGACCUCAAAUCAGAUAGGACUACCCGCUGAACUUAA
rnacentral:misc_RNA from 1 species